UACGUAGGGUGCAAGCGUUAAUCGGAAUUACUGGGCGUAAAGCGUGCGCAGGCGGUUAUGUAAGACAGGUGGGAAAUCCCCGGGCUUAACCUGGGAACUGCAUUUGUGACUGCAUAGCUAGAGUACGGUAGAGGGGGAUGGAAUUCCGCGUGUAGCAGUGAAAUGCGUAGAUAUGCGGAGGAACACCGAUGGCGAAGGCAAUCCCCUGGACCUGUACUGACGCUCAUGCACGAAAGCGUGGGGAGCAAACAGG
rnacentral:rRNA from 1 species